CGACUCUCGCUACAUGCUCCCUUACGUUUCUCUUCAAUAUUUUGAUCAUAUCGUACUCAGGAAUUGGUUGUACGAGUCUGGAACGAAGUUUGCACAUCGAUUGAAAGAAAUUAUCAAUGGAUUCGUUUGGUUGUUGUUUUGUUUCGACUAAAUCUCUCAUUAUUUCAAAGUUCGAUGUGUUUGUCCUAUAUUGGCUUAGUAAUUCACUUUUAAGUGUUGGCCACUUCAUGACACCAUGUGUACGAAUUCGUAACCAGUACCAAUCUCUCGCAGCUCCUGUGACAAGCAAAUGGAAAUCUCUCAAAAUUUCAUCCCAGGUUAUAUCAUAAUGGGACUGGAGAUGUUCUAUUCUAAAGAUAAAGUCUUCCACACCCAUAAUUUUCCCUACUUCCCUGAGCGCUACGGUUUUCUAAUGAUGGAUCAAAAUUUCCUAUAUUCCCGAUGCCAGUUGGAGCUCCCUGAGGACGUAUAAGAUAUACUUUACUCUUUUGAAUCCCCGAAUCUUCACUGACUAAAUUAUGCC